rnacentral:tRNA from 1 species
AUCUGUAGCUCAGUAGGAUAGAGCGUCCGCCUCCUAAGCGGAAGGUCGUGGGUUCGAAUCCCGCCAGGUGC